AGAGUUUGAUCCUGGCUCAGGAUGAACGCUGGCGGUAUGCUUAACACAUGCAAGUCGAACGGAGUACUUCGGUACUUAGUGGCGGACGGGUGAGUAACGCGUGAGAAUCUGCCUUCAGGUUCGGGACAACCACUGGAAACGGUGGCUAAUACCGAAUGUGCAGCAAUGUGAAAAAUUUAUUGCCUGAAGAUGAGCUCGCGUCUGAUUAGCUAGUAGGUGUGGUAAGAGCGCACCUAGGCGACGAUCAGUAGCUGGUCUGAGAGGAUGAUCAGCCACACUGGGACUGAGACACGGCCCAGACUCCUACGGGAGGCAGCAGUGGGGAAUUUUCCGCAAUGGGCGAAAGCCUGACGGAGCAAUACCGCGUGAGGGAGGAAGGCUCUUGGGUUGUAAACCUCUUUUCUCAAGGAAGAAAAAAAUGACGGUACUUGAGGAAUAAGCAUCGGCUAACUCCGUGCCAGCAGCCGCGGUAAUACGGAGGAUGCAAGCGUUAUCCGGAAUGAUUGGGCGUAAAGCGUCCGCAGGUGGCUAUGUAAGUCUGCUGUUAAAGAGUCUGGCUCAACCAGAUAAAGGCAGUGGAAACUACAUGGCUAGAGUGCGUUCGGGGCAGAGGGAAUUCCUGGUGUAGCGGUGAAAUGCGUAGAGAUCAGGAAGAACACCGGUGGCGAAAGCGCUCUGCUAGGCCGCAACUGACACUGAGGGACGAAAGCUAGGGGAGCGAAUGGGAUUAGAUACCCCCGUAGUCC
rnacentral:rRNA from 2 species